UUGGAGGGCAAGUCUGGUGCCAGCAGCCGCGGUAAUUCCAGCUCCAAUAGCGUAUAUUAAAGUUGUUGCAGUUAAAAAGCUCGUAGUUGAACUUCGGGGUUCACCCAUUGGUCAGGCUUAAUUGUCUGUACUGGUGAGAUGAGUCUCUACCUUCUGAGGAACUUUCAUGCCAUUUAUUUGGUGUGGUUGGAAAUCAGGACUGUUACUUUGAAAAAAUUAGAGUGUUUAAAGCAGGCUAACGUCUGAAUACAUUAGCAUGGAAUAAUGAAAUAGGACGGAUUGAUUCUAUUUCGUUGGUUUCUAGGGUCACCGUAAUGAUUAAUAGGGAUAGUUGGGGGCAUUAGUAUUCAAUUGUCAGAGGUGAAAUUCUUGGAUUUAUUGAAGACUAACUACUGCGAAAGCAUUUGUCAAGGAUGUUUUCAUUAAUCAAGAACGAAAGUUAGGGGAUCGAAGACGAUCAGAUACCGUCGUAGUCUUAACCAUAAACUAUGCCGACUAGGGAUCGGACGCAGUUAAUUUUAUAAUGACGUGUUCGGCACCUUACGGGAAACCAAAG
rnacentral:rRNA from 1 species